UACGUAGGGCGCAAGCGUUAUCCGGAAUUAUUGGGCGUAAAGAGCUCGUAGGCGGUUUGUCGCGUCUGCCGUGAAAAGUCCGGGGCUCAACUCCGGAUCUGCGGUGGGUACGGGGCAGACUAGAGUGAUGUAGGGGAGACUGGAAUUCCUGGUGUAGCGGUGAAAUGCGCAGAUAUCAGGAGGAACACCGAUGGCGAAGGCAGGUCUCUGGGCAUUAACUGACGCUGAGGAGCGAAAGCAUGGGGAGCGAACAGG
rnacentral:rRNA from 1 species